rnacentral:rRNA from 1 species
UACGUAGGGUGCAGGCGUUAAUCGGAAUUACUGGGCGUAAAGCGUGCGCAGGCGGUUCGUUGGGGCCGAUGGGAAAGCCCCGGGCUUAACCUGGGAAUGGCAUUGGAAACUGGCGAGCUUGAGUGCGGCAGAGGGGGGUGGAAUUCCGCGUGUAGCAGUGAAAUGCGUAGAGAUGCGGAGGAACACCGAUGGCGAAGGCAGCCCCCUGGGUCGACACUGACGCUCAGGCACGAAAGCGUGGGGAGCAAACAGG